UUCGGGGGUACUCGAGUGGCGAACGGGUGAGUAACACGUGGGUGAUCUGCCCUGCACUUUGGGAUAAGCCUGGGAAACUGGGUCUAAUACCGAAUAGGACCGCGCGCUUCAUGGUGUGUGGUGGAAAGCUUUUGCGGUGUGGGAUGGGCCCGCGGCCUAUCAGCUUGUUGGUGGGGUAAUGGCCUACCAAGGCGACGACGGGUAGCCGGCCUGAGAGGGUGUCCGGCCACACUGGGACUGAGAUACGGCCCAGACUCCUACGGGAGGCAGCAGUGGGGAAUAUUGCACAAUGGGCGCAAGCCUGAUGCAGCGACGCCGCGUGGGGGAUGACGGCCUUCGGGUUGUAAACCUCUUUCAGUAUCGGCGAAGCUCCAAGAUUCUUCUUGGGGUGACGGUAGGUACAGAAGAAGCACCGGCCAACUACGUGCCAGCAGCCGCGGUAAUACGUAGGGUGCGAGCGUUGUCCGGAAUUACUGGGCGUAAAGAGCUCGUAGGUGGUUUGUCACGUUGUCCGUGAAAACUCACAGCUUAACUGUGGGCGUGCGGGCGAUACGGGCAGACUAGAGUACUGUAGGGGAGACUGGAAUUCCUGGUGUAGCGGUGGAAUGCGCAGAUAUCAGGAGGAACACCGGUGGCGAAGGCGGGUCUCUGGGCAGUAACUGACGCUGAGGAGCGAAAGCGUGGGGAGCGAACAGGAUUAGAUACCCUGGUAGUCCACGCCGUAAACGGUGGGUACUAGGUGUGGGUUUCCUUCCUUUAGGGAUCCGUGCCGUAGCUAACGCAUUAAGUACCCCGCCUGGGGAGUACGGCCGCAAGGCUAAAACUCAAAGGAAUUGACGGGGGCCCGCACAAGCGGCGGAGCAUGUGGAUUAAUUCGAUGCAACGCGAAGAACCUUACCUGGGUUUGACAUGCACAGGACGCCGGUAGAGAUAUCGGUUCCCUUGUGGCCUGUGUG
rnacentral:rRNA from 1 species